UCUCCAGACUCCUACGGGAGGCAGCAGUGAGGAAUAUUGGUCAAUGGGCGCAAGCCUGAACCAGCCAAGUCGCGUGAGGGAAGACGGCCCUACGGGUUGUAAACCUCUUUUGCCGGGGAGCAAGCCUGAGCACGUGUGCCCAGGCGGAGAGUACCCGGAGAAAAAGCAUCGGCUAACUCCGUGCCAGCAGCCGCGGUAAUACGGAGGAUGCGAGCGUUAUCCGGAUUUAUUGGGUUUAAAGGGUGCGUAGGCGGUCCGUUAAGUCAGCGGUAAAAUUGCGGGGCUCAACCCCGUCGAGCCGUUGAAACUGGUUUUCUUGAGUGAGUGAGAAGUAUGCGGAAUGCGUGGUGUAGCGGUGAAAUGCAUAGAUAUCACGCAGAACUCCGAUUGCGAAGGCAGCAUACCGGCGCUCAACUGACGCUCAUGCGCGAAAGUGUGGGUAUCGAACAGGAUUAGAUACCCUAGUA
rnacentral:rRNA from 1 species